UGGGGAAUAUUGGGCAAUGGGGGCAACCCUGACCCAGCGACGCCGCGUGUGGGAAGAAGUCUUUCGGGACGUAAACCACUGUUGUGCGGGAAGAAGUAAGUGACGGUACCGCACGAGUAAGGCCCGGCAAACUACGUG
rnacentral:rRNA from 1 species